AUAUCAUGUCUACUUUGACAGGCAAAUUCUCACACACGCAAAACCCUACCUUUUUGCAGGUGAAGGAGGCAGCAUUUACAGAAGAAGAAAAAGGAAAUUCACUAAAGGGAAUCAAGGUGCUGUUCCUAGAUCCCGAUCUGGAACUACGUGUAGAUGGGUCCUUGUAUUAACUGAACAGCAACCAGGCUACAGGUCUUUCUGUAACUCCUGUGAAUGAAGUGGUGGGGGCUUCACCACUCAGUCCGAAGCUGAGUGCACAGGCAGUAGAAUGGAUUGCAUUACCAAAGACUUGCCAGCCAUCCAAAGAAAAGGCUGUAAAUAUUUACAGUGAUUCUCAGUAUGGAUUUGGAGCGUGCCAUGCCACUGGACAGUUAUGGAAGCAGUGUGGGUGUAUAACUUUUAUUGUGAGUGAAGUACUGAACUGCUAAAAGCCAUACAAUUGCCAAAGAAACUAGCUAUCAUUCCUCAGCCAGCCCACACUGCUGAAAGGACAAAAGAAAUAGUAAAUGGUCUAGCGGAUGCUGCAGCUAAAGCCCAGCAUGACCGCUGUACAAACCACCGGCUUACAAACAGUGCAGCGGUCCAACCUGGUGUUGCCUGCUCCUGAAGAGAUAUAUUUGAUUGUUCCUGCUGAAGAUGCUGACUGUUGGAAAGGGAAUUAAGUGACCAAAGACUCCCAGGGAAUGUGGAGAGCAGCUAUGGAAAGCCUUCCUAUUUUACCGAAGCAAUACCUGAUUCCCAUAGCAGAAAUGCAUCACCAUCCAGGGCAUUUUGGGACUGCUGCACUAGCCCAGACAGUGCUGAAGAAUUGGUUUGCACCAGGAAUUUAUGCCACAGCCAAAUAAAUAACUGUCUUGCAUGCACUACCUUUAGCCUUAAUAAAUCUUGGCAAAGACCUCAAUAAACCACAGAACUGUCUUCCUAUGAAAUACUAUUCAGAAGACUGAUAGAACUCCCUGGAACUGAUGUAUCUGCCUAUGUAAGUUUAUUAGCAGGAGAUAAAAACAUAACCUAGUGUAUUUUACAAGAUCAUAGAUUAUUAAAAUACAGUUGGGCCCAGGCACAGCUUAUACAACCAGUACGUCUAGAAGGGGCUUUGCACCCCUUCAAUCUAGGGAAUUACAUUUGGGUAAAAGUACACAAAAGGAUAACUUACCUCCUUGGUGGGAGGGACCGUUUUUGGUAUCGCUAAUGUUUCUCAGCAGUAAAGGUGGAAAGAAAAUUGAGUUGGAUCCACCACUCUCACCUGAAAUCUGCAACUGGUCCUUGUAAUUCUAUAUGAUUAUUAAAUACAGAGCUACAGCAUAGCAUAGUAAAUUAUUGCUUCUCAAGUUUUU